AUCUGAAAUUUGGUAAUUUCCUUAGUGUUUUCCUGGCCGACCUGUGCUGGUAUUGUAAUUAAGAGCUAAUACACCAUUCUCUGGUGAACUGCAGCUGCGGCCGAAUUUGAUUGUGUGCAUCAUCCUGCAGAUAUUUUGAAAUUUUGUGGACGCUUCUGCUGUGCUGCGUUCCUGCUCCGCCCGUGUAUUGCUCCGCCCGUGUUUUAUAGUGUUGCGUCCCAGUUGCGCCUUUGCAUUAGUGUGUGCGUUGUGCUUUAGACACGUUGAAAUUGUUUGUAUGCUUCUGCUGUGCUGCGUUACUGCUUCACCCGUGUAUUAAAUUGCAGCGUUCGUGUUAAUAUAAGCAUCGUCGUUUAAGUACAAAACCGCGUAACUGACAUUUGUUGCUAAAAAUUGGAUUUGCUCACACAAGUUCUUGGCUCAAUCCUUAUCCAUUCUUCCUGAUACAUACUAGCCAAAAAUGCGAUUGCUUUUUAAAAAAAGAAAAAAAAAUCAAAGGUAAUUUUUAGCCAAUUCAAACUUGCAUAUAAUAAGACUAAAAUUGAAGGGGCUAUAAAACUGAGUGCUCAAAUAGAAAUAGAAAUAAAUUAACAUGAGAGGGAAAUAAUAUCACUUUGAAAUAGGGUUGCUAUUGAUAUGACCGAUACUGUAUGUAUAUAAUAAAUUUUGUACAAUUAAAAAUCAAAGUGGAUUUACUAAAAUGAACACAACGUAUUAAUUAUAAAUUCUGAAAUAUAUUGUUAAUUUCAAAAACAAAUAAAUAAUUUGGAUGUACGUGAACUUGGG